rnacentral:rRNA from 1 species
AGAUUGAACGCUGGCGGCAGGCCUAACACAUGCAAGUCGAGCGGUAGAGAGGUGCUUGCAUCUCUUGAGAGCGGCGGACGGGUGAGUAAUGCCUAGGAAUCUGCCUAGUGGUGGGGGAUAACGUUCGGAAACGGGCGCUAAUACCGCAUACGUCCUACGGGAGAAAGCGGGGGACCUUCGGGCCUCGCGCCAUUAGAUGAGCCUAGGUCGGAUUAGCUAGUUGGUGA